GAGGGGUGUCUCCAAUUUAUACUAUUUUGUUUACUCAGACACAAAGCAUCUUGAAGUUUCUGAAUUUUUAAAUGCAAAAGAGCCAGAUGUUUUACCUUUGAAGUGGAUUUGCAGGAUUUGUGAAAGGUUGUCUGUACCUGCGUAUAGCUUCUGGUCUUCUAGUACCAGAAGCCAAUCUGUUUCUGCAUUUGGAGGAUUUGCUUUAUGUGGUUAAAGCCAAACCCCAUGAUCGCAGGAUGAUGUGUGACUCACCGAUUGUGCAAACUAAGUUGAGCGAAUGGUCAUUUGCAGGUUAAAGAUUUAACUGAGCAGUUUCCAGCCGCUACACCCCUUGCUUUGGUACUGAAACAGUUCUUGGCAGAUCGUAGUCUGGAUCAGUCUUAUUCUGGUGGCUUGAGUUCCUACUGUUUGGUACUACUAAUUGUGCGUUUUCCCCAGCAUGAGUGUCUUCUUGGCCGACCUAUCAACCAAUUAAUUUCAUUUGCCACGUUAUAUAUUUGUCUCGACUUCGGAGACCUUCUGAUGAAUUUCUUUAUUUUUUUGGGAAUGUUUUUGAUCCUCGGCAAAUGUGUAUUUCCGUACAGGGAAAGGGAGUUUAUAUAAAGAGGGAAAGAGGUUGCAGGUUUUGCACUGCUGGGCUUCCUAGUGAUGUUGUUGAAGUUGGAGAAAUGUCUUUCCAUCUUCAUAAUUUUCUUUUGCUCUCAAGAAGUUGGUUCAUGGAAAGUUGAUUUCAGAAGCAUCCGAAGAUGGAGAAGAAGCAUGCAAUAUAAACCUCCCUGAUAUUUGUGGUGGGCUAAAACUUUCGAACUGGUAGCCAAGUUCUGCUAUGGGGUGAACUUGAACUGACUGCUUCAAAUGUUGUAUGCCUGCGAUGUGCCGCUAAGCACCUUGAAAGGACUGCAGAGUAUGGGGAAGGCAAUUUAUCCUAGUCUUCUGAGGAGAGUUGGCUGCCCAUCGCUAGCAUCGUUUUCUGCAUUAUUUAUAUCCAGGCUUGAAGAGGAUUGAGCUCUGUGCAUUUGGAACCAAAAUCGACGAUACCAGCUCAUUGGCAUCAAAUGAUCAUGUCAGUAGAUUGCUUUCUUCCCAGGCCUUGAUUCAAUUAACUGACAAAAGAUCUCUUCUUUUGUAUAGUUUUCUUCUUAUUGUUGCUACCCAAAAUUUCUGGCAGAGACCUCCGGUGAGCUUAGUAAUUCAGGGGAGAAGGUUUCCAAACCAGAUAUGGUCUCGAUUAUUGUUAUUUUCGAGUUCUAGGUAUUUAGUAUGCUACUAGCUUAUGAUGUUCGAGCACUAGCUUUACUAAUGUUCUUGUGUCUGACAUGUCUUGCUGCCAUAUAUAUAUAUAUUUUCUAUUGGAAUCUUGCUGCCAUGUUGCAUGGAAAUUUUUUGGAGAUGUCAGAAAUUCCUAAGUUUUUCCUAGCAUCGCUUUAUUUUAAUUUUUGGUGGUUACUGACUAUGGCUUGCUGGAUACAUCU